AUUCCUCCCAUGGUACUAAGGAAGAAAGAGGGUUGGAGAGAUGAAGGCAGAGUGGAGUUGGGUAGAAAUGCGUUCCAAUUCCUGUUCUUACCAGGGCUGAACAUGUGACCUGAGGUACCAGCGGCCUGGUGUCGCCUAGGGACCUGCAUACCUCCUGCUCUACAGCCCUAGGCCUCAGGAGGCAGACGGCUAGGCCUCAGUCAUACGCUGGGCAGGCCUGAAGGGAUCAUCUCAAGCACAGAACGCUAGAGGGUGCGCGCCAAAGGCUACCGAAGGCACCAUAGCGCACCCGGAGGGCGCAAGGCCGUUCCUCACACGCCCGGACCGAGACCCGAGGCCAACCGGCUGCGGGGCCGCGUGCGGGGAAGUGCCCCGGAGGUCCCAACCCCGCCCGUAUCGGGUUUUCUUCUCUUCUCUAGCUGGUCUCCUCUCCCCUGCCCUCCCUUCCCCCCAAAUAAAUAAAUAUCUCCAAGGGCAGCGCACUCGGCGGGGCGCCGGGCCCUGCGCGCCUCCGCGGUAGAAGAACUUCCUGGCUCAUCAAAACUCCCUUCUAGUCCUCCCCGCCGAGCUCAGGAUAUGGGGCGCGCUCGCGUCUCUUCAGAAAAGGAAACGUAGCUCUUCCAAAAAUAUAAAUCAGCUCUGACGUCCAA